rnacentral:rRNA from 1 species
AAUGAACGCUGGCGGCGUGCCUAACACAUGCAAGUCGAGCGAGAAAGUCUCUUCGGAGAUAAGUACAGCGGCGGACGGGUGAGUAACGCGUGAGAAUUUACCCUUUAGUGAGGAAUACCUCUGAGAAAUCAGGGUUAAUACUGCAUACGUCCCUACGGGGAGAAAGGUGGCCUCUUUGCUGCCGCUAAAGGAUAAGCUUGCGUACUAUUAGCUAGUUGGUGAGGUAAAGGCUCACCAAGGCGAUGAUGGUUAGCCGGCCUGAGAGGGUGUACGGCCACACUGGAACUUAGACACGGUCCAGACUCCUACGGAGGCAGCAGUGAGGAAUAUUGCGCAAUGGGCGAAAGCCUGACGCAGCGCGCCGCGUGGAGGAUGAAGGUCUUCGGAUUGUAAACUCCUGUUAAAGUGGGAAGAAAGACCUAUUCUAAUACA